UACAUGGGGUGCAAACGUUGCUCGGAAUCAUUGGGCGUAAAGCGCGCGUAGGCGGUUGCUUAUGUCGGAUGUGAAAGCCCUCGGCUUAACUGAGGAAGUGCAUCCGAAACUGGGCAGCUAGAGUACGAAAGAGGGUCGCGGAAUUCCCGGUGUAGAGGUGAAAUUCGUAGAUAUCGGGAGGAACACCGGUGGCGAAGGCGGCGACCUGGGUCGAGACUGACGCUGAGGCGCGAAAGCGUGGGGAGCAAACAGG
rnacentral:rRNA from 1 species